AUCUUCGGUAAUGUCAGCAACAUCGGGGCGCUGAAGGCAGCAGGCCAUCUCAAGGGGAUGGAGGACGAGAAGAGGAUCGGCGAGAAGGGCGAGGGCAUGAGCGCCGUCGCCGACUCCGGCGAGUCGAGGGGGAGGGUAUGAUUUACAUGGGGUUGGUUGGAAAGAAAGAUUGCUGCCAUUGUUGUGGUGGGUUGUGCUUGUGAGAGGGUAUGAUUUGUUCUUCUUUUUCUCCUGUUUUUUCUUGUUCAUGUUUCAGUGACACUGUUAAUCCGGUGCUCUGCCCCCUUUGAUGCAUGAUGAUUAUGAUGAUGUUGACAUAGUGGUAGAGGGAGUGUGUGCUA
rnacentral:lncRNA from 1 species